rnacentral:rRNA from 1 species
GACGAACGCUGGCGGCGUGCUUAACACAUGCAAGUCGAACGGAAAGGCCCUGCUUUUGUGGGGUGCUCGAGUGGCGAACGGGUGAGUAACACGUGAGUAACCUGCCCUUGACUUUGGGAUAACUUCAGGAAACUGGGGCUAAUACCGGAUAGGAUCUCCUGCUGCAUGGUGGGGGUUGGAAAGUUUCGGCGGUUGGGGAUGGACUCGCGGCUUAUCAGCUUGUUUGUGGGGUAGUGGCUUACCAAGGCUUUGACGGGUAGCCGGCCUGAGAGGGUGACCGGCCACAUUGGGACUGAGAGACGGCCCAGAGUACUACGGGAGGCAGCAGUGGGGAAUAUUGCACAAUGGGCGGAAGCCUGAUGAAGAAACGCCGCGUGCGGGAUGACGGCCUUCGGGUUGUAAAACGAUUUCGCAUGUGACGAAGCGUGAGUGACGGUAAUGGGUAAAGAAGCACCGGCUAACUACGUG